UUCAAUGAACAUUGACAGGCCCAGAAGACUUUGGAAGACAUCUUAGACAAGACUAUAGAAAUAGUGAGAGACAAUGAUCAUGCUUUGCAGGAAGCUCCCUCGACUAAUGGAGGCGGAAUCCGAUUAUUCAAGCGUGCUCCACUCGGGAUUGUAUUUGAUCACACAGAUCAACUCCAACAACCCAGAAAGAAACCAAGAAUUCAUCCUGGGAAGGGAAUUGAGGAGAAGUCAAAAGAGUUUAAAUACCAAAUCAAGUCCGUUGCUGUUGAUGGGAUGGAUAUUUUAGCUGCAUCAAAAAAUGCUUGCCAGAAAUCGUUGGCUAGACUAGAAGCAAGAGAAGCAGCAGUUAAAGCUGCUGCUAAAAGAGAGGAAGAAAGAGUUGCAGCACUAAAAGGAAUUAGGGGGGAGAGAUGGCUCCCUUCUGUGGCCAGAGAUAUGCAAUUAAGGCUUCAACGACGUUGACACCUGUAGAUGGACUAGGCUUCCAUUAUUCAGCACUCAUAUUUCAUUCUUUUACUCUUCAAGGUUUCUAUUGCUCAUUUCAGCCUCUGUUUUAUGUUAGGCUACCUGAGCCGUUGUCAUUGUCAUUUCCAGAAAAAGAUAGUGACACUGUUCAGUAUUGCCAAAAAAGAAAAGUUUCUUCUGAUUAAGCUAUUUACAUUUCUGUAUUAAAGUUAAAGUCUGGUUAUUGGACUGCCAAACAAUUGGUGUCAAGGCAAAGCAUUUCUGUAUUCAUUUGCUUCUGAAGAUCGCUCGUGAUCAUAAAUGCCAGCCAGUGAUUCGAUGGUCUGUA